UGCAUUGCUAUCGGAGGUCGUUUGGCCCCCUAAAUAAUUCGCCGAAGUUGGGACUUUGACACAGUUUUUCCGUAGUGCCGGAAAAAUUUGUCAAAAUCCGAUUCUUCCUCUUUUAACCGCCUCUACAACCCUUAUCCGACCCCUCUAGACUAUAUCCACCCUUUGUAUAGCCUAAUGUCAUCAAGAGACUAGAUAGGGACGAAUAUUUACCUUUUUCUUUUUGGAAAUCGAGGUCCUUGCGUAGAGGGGAAGGAGAUCUACGUUUUUCCCUUCAGCUGGAAGUGCAACCGGGAUCCCUCUCCUCCUCGAAUCCC
rnacentral:lncRNA from 1 species